CGUAAGCGCACGCAGGCGGUCUGUCAAGUCGGAUGUGAAAUCCCCGGGCUCAACCUGGGAACUGCAUCCGAAACUGGCAGGCUUGAGUCUUGUAGAGGGGGGUAGAAUUCCAGGUGUAGCGGUGAAAUGCGUAGAGAUCUGGAGGAAUACCGGUGGCGAAGGCGGCCCCCUGGACAAAGACUGACGCUCAGGUGCGAAAGCGUGGGGAGCAAACAGGAUUAGAUACCCUGGUAGUCCACGCCGUAAACGAUGUCGACUUGGAGGUUGUGCCCUUGAGGCGUGGCUUCCGGAGCUAACGCGUUAAGUCGACCGCCUGGGGAGUACGGCCGCAAGGUUAAAACUCAAAUGAAUUGACGGGGGCCCGCACAAGCGGUGGAGCAUGUGGUUUAAUUCGAUGCAACGCGAAGAACCUUACCUGGUCUUGACAUCCACAGAACUUUCCAGAGAUGGAUUGGUGCCUUCGGGAACUGUGAGACAGGUGCUGCAUGGCUGU
rnacentral:rRNA from 1 species